AAUUCGAUUUUGGAGGGCAAGUCUGGUGCCAGCAGCCGCGGUAAUUCCAGCUCCAAUAGCGUAUAUUAAAGUUGUUGCAGUUAAAAAGCUCGUAGUUGAAUUUCGGGGUCAAUAGGUUGGUCGUGCCAAUGGUAUGUACUGGCUUUAUUGAUUCCUACCUCUUGACGAACUGUGAUGCCAUUAAUUUGGUGUUGCAGGAAAUCAGGACUGUUACCUUGAAAAAAUUAGAGUGUUUAAAGCAGGCUUACGCUUGAAUACAUUAGCAUGGAAUAAUGAAAUAGGACGUUUGAACCUAUUUUGUUGGUUUCUAGGAUCGACGUAAUGAUUAAUAGGGAUAGUUGGGGGCAUUAGUAUUCAAUUGUCAGAGGUGAAAUUCUUGGAUUUAUUGAAGACUAACUACUGCGAAAGCAUUUGCCAAGGAUGUUUUCAUUAAUCAAGAACGAAAGUUAGGGGAUCGAAGACGAUCAGAUACCGUCGUAGUCUUAACCAUAAACUAUGCCGACUAGGGAUCGGAUGAUGUUAAUUUUUUAAUGACUCAUUCGGCGCCUUACGGGAAACAAUCACUAGUG
rnacentral:rRNA from 1 species